UACGGGGGGGGUAAGCGUUGUUCGGAAUUACUGGGCGUAAAGGGCUCGUAGGCGGCCAACUAAGUCAGACGUGAAAUCCCUCGGCUUAACCGGGGAACUGCGUCUGAUACUGGAUGGCUAGAGUGUGGGAGAGGGAUGCGGAAUUCCAGGUGUAGCGGUGAAAUGCGUAGAUAUCUGGAGGAACACCGGUGGCGAAGGCGGCAUCCUGGACCACGACUGACACUGAAAAGCGAAAGCCAGGGGAGCAAACGGG
rnacentral:rRNA from 1 species